CUCUUUUCAACUCUAACACAUGUUCUUUCAAAUUUGAACUUUCUUCUAUGUUGGGUAUAAAAUCCCCUCCCCCAGCCGAAGUUCGUGACAGGAGUGACCCUCCAGAGAUUCUACCGACUUCCGACCUUCGGUGAUAUCUUUCUGAACCUCUCCGACGGCCGAGCCUCCGCAACAUUCCCAAGUUCUGCCGACGGAUAAACCCCCACCAG
rnacentral:lncRNA from 1 species